AUACAGAGGGUGCGAGCGUUAAUCGGAAUUACUGGGCGUAAAGCGCGCGUAGGCGGUUAUUUAAGUCAGAUGUGAAAUCCCCGGGCUCAACCUGGGAACUGCAUCUGAUACUGGUAAGCUAGAGUUUUGGAGAGGGAAGUAGAAUUUCAGGUGUAGCGGUGAAAUGCAUAGAGAUCUGAAGGAAUACCAGUGGCGAAGGCGACUUCCUGGCCAAAAACUGACGCUGAGGUGCGAAAGCGUGGGUAGCAAACGGGAUUAGAAACCCCAGUAGUCC
rnacentral:rRNA from 1 species